rnacentral:rRNA from 1 species
CUACCAUGGCAGUCACGGGUAACGGAGAAUUAGGGUUCGAUUCCGGAGAGGGAGCCUGAGAAACGGCUACCACAUCUACGGAAGGCAGCAGGCGCGCAAAUUGCCCAAUCCCGACACGGGGAGGCAGUGACAAGAAAUAACAACUCUAGGUUUUCUUAGAAGUGUAAUGAGGAUAAUUUACAAACCUUACCAAAUGCAAUUGGAGGGCAAGUCUGGUGCCAGCAGCCGCGGUAAUUCCAGCUCCAAUAGCGUAUAUUAAAGUUGUUGCAGUUAAAAAGCUCGUAGUUGAAAAUCUGAUUGCUCAGGUCUCCAGCCUUUAGGCGGGGAUUCUGACAGUCAUCCGCUUGCAAACAUAUGUUCGAUCUUCACCGGUUGGCUAUGUGAGUAAGCAUUUUACCUUGAGAAAAACAGAGUGUUCCAGGCAGGUUUGUCCGGAAUGCAUUAGCAUGGAAUAAUAGAACAUGACUGAAGUCUAUUUAUUGGUUAAAGGCUUUAGUAAUGAUUAAUAGGAACAGUCGGGGGCAUUCGUACUCAGCAGUCAGAGGUGAAAUUCUAAGAUUUGCUGAAGACGAACUAAUGCGAAAGCAUUUGCCAAGGAUGUUUUCAUUAAUCAAGAACGAAAGUUAGGGGAUC